AUACGUAGGUGACAAGCGUUAUCCGGAUUUACUGGGCGUAAAGGGCGUGUAGGCGGUCUUGCAAGUCAGAAGUGAAAUUCCUGAGCUCAACUCGGGCGCUGCUUCUGAAACUGCGGGACUUGAGUGCUGGAGGGGAUAGCGGAAUUCCUAGUGGCGCGGUAAAAUGCGCAUAUAUUAGGAAGAACACCGGUGGCGUAGGCGGCAAGCUGGACAAUAACGGACGCUGAGGCUCUAAGGCGUGGUAGCAAACAGGAUUAGAUACCCUGGUAGUCCACGGCGUAAACGAUGAAUACUAGAUGUAUGGUGUAUCGACUCCCUCUGUGCCGCAGUUAACACAAUAAGUAUUCCGCCUGGGGAGUACGGCCGCAGGGUUGAAACUCAAAUGAAUUGGCGGGG
rnacentral:rRNA from 1 species